GUGAGGAAUAUUGGUCAAUGGACGAGAGUCUGAACCAGCCAAGUCGCGUGAAGGAAGACGGUUCUAUGAAUUGUAAACUUCUUUUGUGCAGGAAUAAAGUGGGUUACGUGUAACCUUUUGUAUGUACUGUACGAAUAAGGAUCGGCUAACUCCGUGCCAACAGCCGCGGUAAUACGGAGGAUCCGAGCGUUAUCCGGAUUUAUUGGGUUUAAAGGGUGCGUAGGUGGAUUGAUAAGUCAGCGGUGAAAGUUUGCAGCUUAACUGUAAAAUUGCCGUUGAAACUGUCGGUCUUGAGUGCAAAUGAGGUAGGCGGAAUGUGUUGUGUAGCGGUGAAAUGCUUAGAUAUAACACAGAACUCCGAUUGCGAAGGCAGCUUACUGGGAUGCAACUGACACUGAUGCACGAAAGCGUGGGUAUCAAACAGGAUUAGAAACCCGGGUAGUCC
rnacentral:rRNA from 1 species